rnacentral:rRNA from 1 species
UACGUAGGCAGCGAGCGUUGUUCGGAGUUACUGGGCGUAAAGGGUGUGUAGGCGGUUUUCUAAGUUUGGUGUGAAAUCUCCCGGCUCAACCGGGAGGGUGCGCCGAAAACUGGGAGACUAGAGUGCGGGAUGGGAGAGUAGAAUUCCUGGUGUAGCGGUGAAAUGCGUAGAGAUAUGGAGGAACACCAGUGGCGAAGGCGACUUUCUGGUCUGUAACUGACACUGAGGCGCGAAAGCGUGGGGAGCAAACAGG